GUGAGACGUCGCGACUGGCGCUGACGUGCUCUCGGGCGCGUCGCUAGGUGGGGCACCACCGGGGAGCGAAAACGCGGAGGCCGUGCGCCUGGGUCGCCGCC
rnacentral:ncRNA from 2 species